AUUAAACGCUGGCGGCAUGCCUUACACAUGCAAGUCGAACGGUAGCGCGGGGCAACCUGGCGACGAGUGGCGAACGGGUGAGUAAAGCAUCGGAACGUGCCCUGGAAUGGGGGAUAACGUAGCGAAAGUUACGCUAAUACCGCAUAUUCUGUGAGCAGGAAAGCAGGGGAUCGCAAGACCUUGCGUUCUGGGAGCGGCCGAUGUCGGAUUAGCUAGUUGGUGGGGUAAAAGCCUACCAAGGCGACGAUCCGUAGCGGGUCUGAGAGGAUGAUCCGCCACACUGGGACUGAGACACGGCCCAGACUCCUACGGGAGGCAGCAGUGGGGGAAUUUUUGGACAAAUGGGCGGAAGCCUGAUCCAGCCAUGCCGCGUGAGUGAAGAAA
rnacentral:rRNA from 1 species